AACGUUAAAAAAAUUUGAGGAGUUCAUCAAAAAAGGAGUUGUGAUUCGAAAUAGAGAUUAAGCCUCCAAUUAGGUGAGUGAAUACACCUCUUUAAGUAUUUUAAUAUGUAAAGUGAGCAUGAUUUUUAUGAAAAUGAUAAUUUAGGCAUGAUAAAAUAUUGUUUCAAAUGAUUCUUUAUCAAAGAAUUUGGUUUUCAAGGUUUUCAACUAGUUUUCAAAAGUAUGAUUAAUGAAUUUAAUUUGAUGUUGACUUGUGAUGUGAGUUGACACAAAUGAUUUUCAAAUCAUUUGCGAAUCUACUAUGUAUGUAAAUACUUUACUAUGUGCUAGUUUUCAACAAGGGGGGACAAGCCCUUUUAUAUGUUUUCUCAAAAUGAGAUGAAUGGUAUGAUGUACAUGUUUGACAUGAUGUAAUAUGUAAGGUUUGGUGGGUCCAUGAGUUACCACUUAUAAGUUAAUAAAUUUCUAUGACAUGUAUGAAUAAUAUGAUGAUAUGCUUGUUGAUAUAUGAGUUGCCACUUAUGAGAUAAUGAUUGUUAUGACAUAUAUGAGUAUGAUGUCAACAUGUUGGAGGACAUAUGCAUUCCUUCCCAAGAUAAGAUUAUGAUUUAUGAGCUAAGGUAUGAAAAGUAUGCCAUGAAAUGUAUAUGUUGAGAAUUCUCAUAUACACUAUGGGCUAAGUAUGAAAUGAUGAAUGGAAAUGUGUAUGUGAUUUUAAGGCAAGUUAAGAUAAAAAUGAUCCUAUACUUGAGGAAUCCCAUAACAAUAGUGGGGAUUGAUCACUAUUCAUCUAAGAGGGGCAAGACUGCUCAAAGGUUGUGGGUGAGGCUGAUACGCCACUCACAAGAACGCAUUAAGAAUCCCAAGUAGUGAGGAUUAAAUCACUACUCACUUGAAUGAGGUGAGAACCAUUCAUAGUUAGGAGAUAUUUAUGGUUUAUAGAAAGUUUUAUGAAUUGAUGCCCACAAGUCUAUGUUUAUGAUUGAAUUUUUAUAUAUGUCAUAAUGUAUGUGAGAAUAUGGUGAAUGAAUGCUUGCUUGGUCAAAAAUCUAGCCUAAAGAAUUGUAUCAUGAGAUAAGAGGACAUGUGGCAUGCAUUUGUGCAAGAUUUUAUGCAGAAAAUUAAGUUUCAGGAUUGAUGUAUCAAUACUUAAAGGCCAUCUAUCGAUAGAUAAAAGGCAAAAUGCUAAAAGAAGCAAUAUGUGUUCCAUAUAUUGAUAGAUCCCCUUAUGCAUCGAUAGAUGCUAGAUAGAAUAGAGUUUUUAUGUGUGUUUUAAGGAUUUUUCAAAGGCAAAUGAUUUCUUAAGAGUUAUGUAAACUUGUAUUCCAUGCAAUGUUAUUUAAAAUGCAUUUAAAUACCAUGAUUCAUGAACUAUAUGGAAAUGUUGAAAGUUUUAUGAAUGGCAAGAGAUUACAAGUGCAUGGUUACGUAAAAUUCUCCCCCUUGGCUUGUCCCUUUCCUCGUAUCCACUCACAGAGUUUUUAUGACUCAAACAUUAUUUUCCUUCACUAUUUUUGUUGUAGAUUAAUGAUAACAUUUUCUUCUAGCAGUCAGUGUCAUGGACACAUGAUCCAUUCAUCUUUUGGCAAGUGAUCUAACAGCCGCAUGCAACCUCAAGGUUGAGUCAUGUUCCAUCAAGGAGUCGGUCAUAUGUUAUGUUUAUGGAUAUUGUACAUGAUUAUGAUGAUGUAGCCAAUUUUUGGCAUUUACGUUAUGAAUUUUAUGAUUAAUUAUGCAAAGG
rnacentral:lncRNA from 1 species